ACGAACGCUGGCGGCAUGCCUAACACCUGCCAGUCGAACGUGGCCUUCGGGUCUAGUGGCGCACGGGUGCGUAACGCGUGGGAAUCUACCCUCAGGUUCGGAAUAACUCAGAGAAAUUUGAGCUAAUACCGGAUGAUGACGUAAGUCCAAAGAUUUAUCGCCUGAGGAUGAGCCCGCGUAGGAUUAGGUAGUUGGUGAGGUAAAGGCUCACCAAGCCGACGAUCCUUAGCUGGUCUGAGAGGAUGAUCAGCCACACUGGGACUGAGACACGGCCCAGACUCCUACGGGAGGCAGCAGUGGGGAAUAUUGGACAAUGGGCGAAAGCCUGAUCCAGCAAUGCCGCGUGAGUGAUGAAGGCCUUAGGGUUGUAAAGCUCUUUUACCCGGGAUGAUAAUGACAGUACCGGGAGAAUAAGCUCCGGCUAACUCCGUG
rnacentral:rRNA from 1 species